GGCGGAGGGAAGCUCAUCAGUGGGGCCACGAGCUGAGUGCGUCCUGUCACUCAAUUCCUAUGUCCCUUGGGAAGGUCUGAGACUAGGGCCAGAGGCGGCCCUAACAGGGCUCUCCCUGAGCUUCGGGGAGGUGAGUUCCCAGAGAACGGGUCUCCGCGCGAGGGUCAGACUGGGCAGGAGAUGCCGUGGGCCCCGCCCUUCGGGGAGGGACCCGGCGGAUGCCUCCUUUGCCGGAGCUUGGAACAGACUCACGGCCAGCGAAGCGAGUUCAAUGGCUGAGGUGAGGUACUCCGAACGGGGGCCUCAUAACCCAAUUCAGACUACUCUCCCCCGCC
ensembl:ribozyme RNaseP_nuc Nuclear RNase P